rnacentral:rRNA from 1 species
GACAGAGGGUGCAAACGUUGUUCGGAAUUACUGGGCGUAAAGCGUGUGUAGGCGGCUAGGUAAGUCACCUGUGAAAUCUCCUGGCUCAACUGGGAGCUUGCAGGCGAAACUGCCGUGCUGGAGUGUGGGAGAGGUGCGUGGAAUUCCUGGUGUAGCGGUGAAAUGCGUAGAUAUCAGGAGGAACACCUGUGGCGAAAGCGGCGCACUGGACCACAACUGACGCUGAGGCGCGAAAGCUAGGGGAGCAAACAGG